UCCCACUUUUCACAGACCCAGGCAGCAGACCAGCUCCAGGAUGUUUACCUGGUGAUUUAGUGUGAUUGGAAAAAUGUAAAACAAGUUGCGCUCCCCAAUUGCUGUCUGUACGAUAAUACCUGUCUCCCAGCCUUUGACGACACGUCUACAGCAUGAUUAUUGAACUUCUUUUCACAAUAUCUAGUGACAAAUGCAUUUGAUUGAGAUAGAAGCAACUGGAGACUUUGCAGCAAAGGAUACUGCUGAGCAAUACAGAUGUUAGUUGUCUGCACUUCAAGCAGGAAGAAAGCUUGACACCAUGAUAAUCCUCAAGAUCUUACACUGUCACUCAAAUCUUGCUGUGGAAUAAAGGCUAUACGAUUUCUUUUGAUGAUCUUUGAGAGACAAGCUGCAUCCUAGAUCUCAGCUAAAGUGGAGCCUCAAUUUCUCAAGGAAAGAGAUGGAAAUAACCUCACUGAAAUAGAUUUUUCAGGGCUCAGAGUCAAGCUGGAUCCUCUCCAUCUUGUGAAUUUGCUCCUCAGUAGCAGGUGUGCAACUCUCCCAAUUAUGCUCUCCAAUGACAGAGGUAACUGAUUGGAAUUUUGCAAACAACUCCUUUGAUGUACAAGAAAGAACAAAAAUGCAGGUACUGCUCAUGUACAUACAGCUAAGCACAUGCAUAAGUUUUGCAGCAAUGGGAUAACUGGAAGUCUUGAACUGAGUCUUGCCUCAACCAUCCUUGGUCUCAGGAACUAAAAAGUGGGUUGAGACAGGAACCUACAAAUUGCAGAAUAGAAAACUGGAUGAAAAAACUUUAACUAAAAAUCUAAAUAAAAGCAACAUGUAAGCUCUGAAAUGUAGUCCAUUUUUAUUUAGGCGCUUUGAUAUGUAUGUAAAAGCAUAACA